CAUGUACACCCUCCGUUCGUAAUUACUUGUCCCGGAAAUGGAUGUAUUUAGAACUAAAAUAUGUCUAGAUACAUCCAUUUCUGCGACAAGUAAUUCUAAACGGAGGGAGUAAAAA
rfam:Triticum aestivum genome assembly, contig: Triticum_aestivum_CS42_TGACv1_scaffold_225137_3B